rnacentral:rRNA from 1 species
UUUAACAUGAGAGUUUGAUCCUGGCUCAGGAUGAACGCUGGCGGCGUGCUUAACACAUGCAAGUCGAACGAAGCACUUUAUUUGAUUUCCUUCGGGACUGAUUAUUUUGUGACUGAGUGGCGGACGGGUGAGUAACGCGUGGGUAACCUGCCUUGUACAGGGGGAUAACAGUUGGAAACGGCUGCUAAUACCGCAUAAGCGCACGGCAUCGCAUGAUGCAGUGUGAAAAACUCCGGUGGUAUAAGAUGGACCCGCGUUGGAUUAGCUAGUUGGUGAGGUAACGGCCCACCAAGGCGACGAUCCAUAGCCGACCUGAGAGGGUGACCGGCCACAUUGGGACUGAGACACGGCCCAAACUCCUACGGGAGGCAGCAGUGGGGAAUAUUGCACAAUGGGCGAAAGCCUGAUGCAGCGACGCCGCGUGAGCGAAGAAGUAUUUCGGUAUGUAAAGCUCUAUCAGCAGGGAAGAUAAUGACGGUACCUGACUAAGAAGCACCGGCUAAAUACGUGCCAGCAGCCGCG